rnacentral:lncRNA from 1 species
GGAAUCAAUCCUUGAGCACGAGAAGGCUGGAGUGCAGAACCAGGAAAGAGAGGAUGCACCCUCCUCCAUCCAUACUUUUAUACAGUGAUCAGCAAUCACCAUCCAUUCCUCGGUGGAUUGUGUGCAUCUCACCCUCUCCAUCUCCUUGCUCAGGCCUGGGGCUGCUUGCCAAGGGCACGGGGCUUCCAUGCAUACCUGCUUUUCUACAGACAUCUGAGUAGAGAAGAGAUAGCGCCGGCAAACAGAUGUCGGCAGCUCCUCGCUGGGGAGCGGUCCCUCUGGACGCGUCGGGUCGGCCAGGAGCACCGGUGCCUUUCAGCAUUGUCCUAAAACUCCCAGCCCGAACCGUGCCGCGGGUUCCCACAGCUGCGCUCACAAAGGAGACACAACGGGCUCCUCUGGGGACAAAACCUAAUCUGAGAGAUACCAGGCUGAGAAAGC